AUUGAACACUGGCGGCAUGCCUUACACAUGCAAGUCGAACGGCAGCACGGGUGCUUGCACCUGGUGGCGAGUGGCGAACGGGUGAGUAAUAUAUCGGAACGUACCUUAUUGUGGGGGAUAACGCAGCGAAAGCUGUGCUAAUACCGCAUAAUCCCUAAGGGGGAAAGCGGGGGACCGUAAGGCCUCGCGCAAUUAGAGCGGCCGAUACCUGAUUAGCUAGUUGGUGAGGUAAAGGCUCACCAAGGCAACGAUCAGUAGCUGGUCUGAGAGGACGAGCAGCCACACUGGGACUGAGACACGGCCCGGACCCCUACGGGAGGCAGCAGUGGGGAAUUUUGGACGAUGGGGGCAACCCUGAUCCAGCAAUGCCGCGUGAGUGAAGAAGGCCUUCGGGUUGUAAAGCUCUUUUGUCAGGGAAGAAACAGCAGCUCUAACACAGUUUGCGAAUGACGGUACCUGAAGAAUAAGCACCGGCUAACUACGUGCCAGCAGCCGCGGUAA
rnacentral:rRNA from 1 species